CGAUCUGCUGAGAAACACUGCAAAAAUGACUUCCCCUGCCAAAAAUAAUAAUGUCGUUUACAAGCAGCUCUUCCAUGUCUGAGGAAGAACUAGCCCCACGUGUGAGUUUAUGCAGGCUUCAGAGGAGCUAGCAAGGAAACGGGCAAAUCCUGCCAAUCCCAGGCUAAAAUACCCCAUAUCACAACCUGAGGGAAGCUGUGGCCCAUUCCAAAGGUGCUGGCAACAUCCAGGAAGAUUCAUAUCCACAAAAAUCCAAAUGUCUUUUCAUCAUGCAUGUGAAAUUUCAACCAUGAUGGAUGGAGAGUCUCUGGUCCAAAAUCUCACCAAGUUUCUUAUCCACAGAUACAAGCCUAGAGGGAGCCAAUAACCACAUGGAAUACAAACAGGAAUGAAAUAAAGUUCUUGACCUCAAUGA